GACGAACGCUGGCGGCGCGCCUAACGCAUGCAAGUCGAACGGAGCGGCGAGAAGCUUGCUUUUCUUAGCUUAGUGGCGAACGGGUGAGUAACGCGUGAGUAACCUGCCCUGGAGUGGGGGACAACAGUUGGAAACGACUGCUAAUACCGCAUAAGCCCACGAUCCGGCAUCGGAUUGAGGGAAAAGGAUUUAUUCGCUUCAGGAUGGACUCGCGUCCAAUUAGCUAGUUGGUGAGGUAACGGCCCACCAAGGCGACGAUUGGUAGCCGGACUGGGAGGUUGAACGGCUACAUUGGGACUGAGACACGGCCCAGACUCCUACGGGAGGCAGCAGUGGGGGAUAUUGCACAAUGGGGGAAAACCUGAUGCAGCGACGCCGCGUGGAGGAAGAAGGUUUUCGGAUUGUAAAUUCGUGUCGUUAGGGACGAUAAUGACGGUACCUAACAAGAAAGCACCGGCUAACUACGUG
rnacentral:rRNA from 1 species